rnacentral:rRNA from 1 species
GACGAACGCUGGCGGCGUGCUUAACACAUGCAAGUCGAACGGAAAGGCCCUGCUUUUGUGGGGUGCUCGAGUGGCGAACGGGUGAGUAACACGUGAGUAACCUGCCCUUGACUUUGGGAUAACUUCAGGAAACUGGGGCUAAUACCGGAUAGGAGCUCCUGCUGCAUGGUGGGGGUGGGAAAGUUUCGGCGGUUGGGGAUGGACUCGCGGCUUAUCAGCUUGUUGGUGGGGUAGUGGCUUACCAAGGCUUUGACGGGUAGCCGGCCUGAGAGGGUGACCGGCCACAUUGGGACUGAGAUACGGCCCAGACUCCUACGGGAGGCAGCAGUGGGGAAUAUUGCACAGUGGGCGGAAGCCUGAUGCGGCAACGCCGCGUGCGGGAUGACGGCCUUCGGGUUGUAAACCGCUUUCGCCUGUGACGAAGCGUGAGUGACGGUAAUGGGUAAAGAAGCACCGGCUAACUACGUG